GAUCAUGGCUCAGAUUGAACGCUGGCGGCAGGCUUAACACAUGCAAGUCGAACGGUAGCAGGAGAAAGCUUGCUUUCUUGCUGACGAGUGGCGGACGGGUGAGUAAUGCUUGGGAAUCUGGCUUAUGGAGGGGGAUAACGACGGGAAACUGUCGCUAAUACCGCGUAGUGUCGAGAGACGAAAGUGCGGGACCGCAAGGCCGCAUGCCAUGAGAUGAGCCCAAGUGGGAUUAGG
rnacentral:rRNA from 1 species